UUCAGGUGCCAGGGUAAUGUUUCAUAGAGUGGAAUGAUUGACCUCAACACAAGUAUUAAAAAAAAGAAGCAAAACAGGUCUACAUCUCAAAACCUGAUGUCUACCUGGACUGGCUUUAGUAGAACGAUGAUGCAUAUCAAUUUCAUCCCUGAUCUCUAUGACACCUGUGGUGGAAGUGGAGGGCAAAUCGUAAUCAGUUUGGGUUCAAGCCCCGAGGACCACUGUAAACAUUGCUUUUUGGUGAUGACUUCAUUUCCGAGCUUGAAAAGGACGCCCUUGUGUUUAUCAUGGCCUCUCAUAUUGGAAGAUAACAUAAAUGGCUUGUGUUUUGAUCGACGGUUGUGCAUAUCUCUUGGUCAGGAAAGUUGUAGGCACCAUCGCCAUUGUAAAUCAUUUGACAGGCCAGAGUGAACAGAGAGACCUAUGAUUGGUCAGCAAUGUAUCAGAUUCCAUACUGGGGGGUGGGGAUGAAAAAAACUGUUGUAGUGUUACAUAAUCAGAUUAUUUCAACUUACUUAUCCUGUGGAAAUACAGCUAUAUAGGAGAUAUUUUGAAAUUCAUAAGCACUGCAUGUUUCAACAUUUUAGAUUUGACCACAAUUUGGCACUUGAAACUAUGUUAACAGAGAAAAACUGUGUGGUUUUCGAUGAAAGUGUUAAAAGUCUAAUAUUGCAUCAUGAUUACUGUUUUAAAAUAACAACAGAUUUGUUUAAACUGCAGAAACAUGUGAGGU